GUGAACUCAGACCGCGCAUUUUAAUGGGCCGAACUUCCAAGUAGCCGCUUGCAGUAUGCAGUCUGGUUGCGGCUUAUUCCUUGAGAAAUAUAUGUUGAAGUAACUCUUUGGACUGUCACGGGUUGAAUACAAAACAGACAUGAAACUUGCUUGAACUUUCCAAAGGCCUAAUCUGAAAGUGGGGAGGGUCUUGUGAGCGUGGGGCACCUGUACGUGCACAGGACAGUAAUGGUGUAUUAACUGAAGGAAGAUGAUGACAGAGGCAUGUCGAGCCACACAGGCAAAGUAGAACAGGCGGCCGAGUUUCUGAUGGGGAAAGAUAAAAAGCACUCAGAGCAGCAGCAGAAGUGACGAGCCAGCCUCAAGCGGAUUCUCGAUGAAUUGCAGUUUAUAACACUUCCGCAUGGGCUUCAUACUUUGAGAUCGGAGGUUGCCGCUUGCUCCUAUGUUACCUGCUGAUCUAUAGAGACGUCACCCGGUGCAAAACUGUCAACCUAUAAAAACAAAAGAGCUCAACUCUGAAGUCAACUAAAUGCCUGGCAGCACUCUUCAGACACAGUGUGAGAAGAGCCCCAUAGGGUGGUUCUGCAGCCAGCGUCAAGCGGAUUCUCAAUGAACUGCAGUUUAUAACACUUCCCUAUGGGCUUCAUAGUUUGAGACCGGAGUUUGCCGCUUGAUGUGUCACUUCUGAUUCA